CGCCUUUUGAGUUACAAGUAUAAAAGGUCCUGCCUGCCCAGUGACACUGUUCAACGGCCGCGGUAUUAUGACCGUGCAAAGGUAGCGUAAUCACUUGUCUUUUAAAUAAAGACCAGUAUGAAUGGCAAGACGAAAGCCAAGCUGUCUCCCCAGAUUGGUCAAUGAAAUUGAUGUUCCCGUGCAGAAGCGGGAAUAAGAAUAUAAGACGAGAAGACCCUGUGGAGCUUCAAACUUAAGCUAACAAAUUAUAAAUGUCUUAGCACCCAGUUUUAGGUUGGGGCGACCGCGAGGUAAAACAUAACCCUCGAGACAAAUUAAGAAGGACACUUCGAUAAUAACAUAUAACAAAAUUGACCCAAUAAUUGAUCAACGAACCAAGUUACCCCAGGGAUAACAGCGCAAUCUACUCAAAGAGCCCAUAUCGACGAGCAGGUUUACGACCUCGAUGUUGGAUCAGGACCCCCCAAUAACGCAACAGUUAUUAAAGGUUCGUUUGUUCAACGAUUAAAGUCCU
rnacentral:rRNA from 1 species